AGGCACUCUUCGUGGCCUUUUGGUCUGGCUGUGGCUUACGGGCUCCGUUCUGGUGGGACAGCAGCCCCAGUGGCACGUGACUGACCGACUCGUGGCUCCUAGUUUCAGGUCCUGGGGACACAG